rnacentral:rRNA from 1 species
UACAGAGGUCCCAAGCGUUGUUCGGAUUCACUGGGCGUAAAGGGUGCGUAGGUGGUGGGGUAAGUUUGAUGUGAAAGCUCCGAGCUUAACUCGGAAAUGGCAUUGAAUACUAUCCUGCUAGAGGUUUGGAGGGGGGACUGGAAUUCUCGGUGUAGCAGUGAAAUGCGUAGAUAUCGAGAGGAACAACAGUGGCGAAGGCGAGUCCCUGGACAACACCUGACACUGAGGCACGAAAGCUAGGGGAGCAAACAGG